rnacentral:rRNA from 1 species
CCUACGGGGGGCUGCAGUGGGGAAUAUUGGACAAUGGGGGCAACCCUGAUCCAGCCAUGCCGCGUGUGUGAAGAAGGCCCUCGGGUUGUAAAGCACUUUCAGUGAGGAAGAACGCCUGGUGGUUAAUACCCAUCAGGAAAGACAUCACUCACAGAAGAAGCACCGGCUAACUCCGUGCCAGCAGCCGCGGUAAUACGGAGGGUGCGAGCGUUAAUCGGAAUUACUGGGCGUAAAGCGCGCGUAGGUGGCUUGAUAAGCCGGUUGUGAAAGCCCCGGGCUCAACCUGGGAACGGCAUCCGGAACUGUCAAGCUAGAGGGCAGGAGAGGAAGGUAGAAUUCCCGGUGUAGCGGUGAAAUGCGUAGAGAUCGGGAGGAAUACCAGUGGCGAAGGCGGCCUUCUGGACUGACACUGACACUGAGGUGCGAAAGCGUGGGUAGCAAACAGGAUUAGAUACCCUGGUAGUA